GAUGAAGAACGCAGCGAAAUGCGAUAAGUAGUGUGAAUUGCAGAAUUCAGUGAAUCAUCGAAUCUUUGAACGCACAUUGCGCCCUUUGGUAUUCCAAAGGGCAUGCCUGUUCUAGCGUCAUUUGUACCCUCAAGCUUUGCUUGGUGUUGGGCGUCUUGUCUCUAGCUUUGCUGGAGACUCGCCUUAAAGUAAUUGGCAGCCGGCCUACUGGUUUCGGAGCGCAGCACAAGUCGCACUCUCUAUCAGCAAAGGUCUAGCAUCCAUUAAGCCUUUUUUUCAACUUUUGACCUCGGAUCAGGUAGGGAUACCCGCUGAACUUAAGCAUAUCAAUAAGCGGAGGA
rnacentral:misc_RNA from 1 species